rnacentral:rRNA from 1 species
AUUGAACGCUGGCGGCAGGCCUAACACAUGCAAGUCGAGCGGAAACGACAACAUUGAAUCUUCGGAGGAUUUGUUGGGCGUCGAGCGGCGGACGGGUGAGUAAUGCCUAGGAAAUUGCCUUGAUGUGGGGGAUAACCAUUGGAAACGAUGGCUAAUACCGCAUAAUGCCUACGGGCCAAAGAGGGGGAUCUUCGGACCUCUCGCGUCAAGAUAUGCCUAGGUGGGAUUAGCUAGUUGGUGAGGUAAUGGCUCACCAAGGCGACGAUCCCUAGCUGGUCUGAGAGGAUGAUCAGCCACACUGGAACUGAGACACGGUCCAGACUCCUACGGGAGGCAGCAGUGGGGAAUAUUGCACAAUGGGCGAAAGCCUGAUGCAGCCAUGCCGCGUGUAUGAAGAAGGCCUUCGGGUUGUAAAGUACUUUCAGUUGUGAGGAAGGGUGUGUAGUUAAUAGCUGCACAUCUUGACGUUAGCAACAGAA